rfam:Felis catus isolate Cinnamon breed Abyssinian chromosome D1, whole genome shotgun sequence.
GCCUGGGUGGCUCAAUCAGUUGAGCAUCUGACUUCAACUCAGGUCAUGAUCUCACAGUUUGUGAGUUCAAGCCCCGCAUCAGGCU